UGAGUAACCUGCCCUUCACUCUGGGAUAACUCCGGGAAACCGGGGCUAAUACUGGAUAUGACUCGAACAGGCAUCUGUUUCGGGUGGGAAGAUUUAUUGGUGGAGGAUGGACUCGCGGUCUAUCAGCUUGUUGGUGAGGUAAUGGCUCACCAAGGCGACGACGGGUAGCCGGCCUGAGAGGGCGAUCGGCCACACUGGGACUGAGACACGGCCCAGACCUCCGUACGGGGAGGCA
rnacentral:rRNA from 1 species